UACGUAGGUGGCAAGCGUUAUCCGGAUUUACUGGGUGUAAGGGGCGUGUAGGCGGGGACGCAAGUCAGAUGUGAAAACCACGGGCUCAACCUGUGGCCUGCAUUUGAAACUGUGUUUCUUGAGUACUGGAGAGGCAGACGGAAUUCCUAGUGUAGCGGUGAAAUGCGUAGAUAUUAGGAGGAACACCAGUGGCGAAGGCGGUCUGCUGGACAGCAACUGACGCUGAGGCGCGAAAGCGUGGGGAGCAAACAGG
rnacentral:rRNA from 1 species